GCCGGGCGGAGCGUGUGGGCGGGUCUCAGGGGCGCGGCGACUGGGGCGGGCGGGGGGAGAGCGAGGUCGGGAGCAGACAGCGCUGAGCCCCAGGCGAGAGAAGGCGAGGUCGCCGGGGACACGCGGGCCAGCACCUGGCUGGCCGUGGGGGUGUGGGGAGCCCAGGAGGCAGGGGUGCAGGCGUGACCCGUGGGACAGGGAGGUGCCGAUGGAGCCUCCCAGCACAGCACCGCCCCCGGGCGACGUAGGAAGGAACGCUGGUGGGGAAGAGGGGUCUGAGGUCUUUGAAGGACACCAGGUGGACGGUUACUAUAAAGGUCUGAAGUCCACGACAAGGCGCUGAGAUCGUUUAGGAGCGGAUCCCGGGAGACGAGAGCAAAGGAUUGAACCUCAGGAACCUGGACGGUUGUGAUGCUGGCUAACGGAGAAGAUCCUGGGAAGGAAACCUGAAAGCGAAGAGCAGGUAUUAGUGUUCCAGAAACUGAGGUUAAGAGGGUGACCUAAACCAAUGGUAGCAAUGACUUUAGAAGAUGAAGGAAAGGCAGGUUGAAAUGUGGGUUUGGAAAUCAGGGAGACUUGGGGAGAGCAGGAGCAGGACUAGGACGAGCUGAGAAGUAAGGGGGUGAGGAUGAGUGUGGAGCCUAAGAUCCUUGGGGGCUGAGAUGGCCUUUGACUUGUCUUUGAUUUCUCAUCGCUGGUACAGAGUAGAGUUUGAGCUAAAUUGUGCUGUUCUUUUAGGAUGUCUGAGUAUACAGGGAACAAGAGAGCUGAGAUGUGUGCAGAGCCAAGAAGACUGUGGAAGGCUUCUUUCUGUCAAGUUGUACAGAGGAGGACACUGAGUACACCAACUUGAGACCAGAGACCAUAGCAGUGAGGGGUGGAGGAGUGAGCUGUGAACAAAAACAAGGACUCUUGUCACAGAGACAAAGGAAGGGAUGAAGGGUGGGAGAAAGGACAGGCUGUGUGUGUGCUUUUGUUUCCUCUUUUCUUGGGAAAGUGGAAGGCGAGGUCGUCUGCUAAGAAUGAAAAGGCAAGUUGCUAAGGUAAUUAGGUGCGAGAAAUGCCCAAAGACAAGUCAUAGGAAUGGUAAAUUAUUGAGGACCUUAUACAAGAUUUUGUAGGGUCACAGGUCUGCUCAAUGGCAUUAUUUUGUCUAGCAGUGAUCAGCUACUGGACAGCAGAGAGUGUUAGAUGCCAGCCUAAGGAGUUGGGGUUUAUCUUCCAGGCCACCGGGUCCCAAGUCCUGCUCACCAGAGUCUCCUAGAAAUCUUCCCUAAAGCACAGAUUCUGCAGAAUCACUGCCCAGAGAUUCAGAUCCUGAAUGGGUGGUGAGGUCUGGAAAUCUGUAUUUUUAAUUAGCUCUCUACUGGUUCCCAUGUAGCCAGGGGCACAUGGACACUUUCUGCCCUCUGGAGGGAGGAAGUGUACUGGUGGAAGAUAUCCGAAAGAAGUAACUGCACUUGGAAAUUGACCUAUGUGCAGCACAGAAGCUGAAGGAGAAGAGGGACAUCAAGCAGAGAAAUGUGGAGGUACAGAUAACACCUGAUUAUUUGUGGGAUUCUUCGAGGAACCUGAGAAGACAUUGCAAAAGAGGAACUUAAGGACGGUUAAAAUUUCUGCUAAAUGUGCCACAAAGUGCUGCCUUGUCUCCCUCCCAUUCUUCUCAAUCCUUAUUAUGUAAUUCAAGGUCAUGAAUAUUCCAUUUGAAGGGUUCCUGAUCUGACCCAAAGACCUGCAUGUGCCCUGGAACAAGCAUUUUUCUCUCUUUCCUCAGUCCCAGAGGCUGGUUCUGGGACAGACUUCAGGCUCCCAAGAGGAUGUUACUGCCAAGUAAUUGCUCUGAAACUAGUUUCUAUAGUUGUUCUCAUGGAUUCCAUGCACACUUUCCCUUCUUGUAGUUCCGUAAAUAAUAAAAAGCCAAUGUUACUGUCUGUUUUCUCUUAAGAAUAUGCACCAAGUCAUCUCUGCCAUUGCUUUUGUUUGAGGGUUUUGGUAAACAGUAGGAGUUCAUGAAGAAGUUCAUUGUUGUGUAUACACAGGCAAGAUGGAAAGCAUGAAAAGGGGAUAUCCUAACUCUUGGGAAAGGUGGCAGAUUGGACAUGGACCGCCUCUGAAUUCACCCUCUAUCUUUGAGCUGCCCCAAAGAUAGUGAUUUACCUUUAUCCCUGUAGGUCUGGGACCAAUCUUAGUUAUUCAGAUGUGCAGAUGGUGAAUUUCGUGUUAUAUGACCUAUAUUCACACAGCACUGAUUCAACAUAUAACUUACGAAGAGUGUGUUUUACCAUUACCCUUAAGAAAUCAAAUUAACGGGCACUGGGUGGCUCAGCUGACUGAAUGUCUGACUCUCGAUUUCGGCUCAGGUCACAAUCUUGGUCCUGGGAUGGAUCCCUGCAUCAGGCUCUCCACUCAGCCAGACGUCUGCUUGAGGAUCGUCUCUCUCCUCCCUCUGCCCCUCUGCCCUAAAAUAAAUAAAUAAAUCUUUUUUAAAAAGAAAUCAAAUUAAGAUCAGAAUUUAAAAUCAGAAAUAUAAUGUAAUAAACUUAAACCCUUUUCUUUGCAUACCAUGAUAAAUAAUCCUUGACCAAACAAGGCUUAGCCUUUUUAAUGCAACAAGUUAUAGAAGAUACAUCAGACCAUCCAGGCCUCCUGUCCUAGUAAUUCACACAGUGUUAAAAUGCUCAAAGCAGUAGAUGCAGUUCUCUUUUUUUAAACAUGGGUCUGCUUUUACAAUCCAAAAUAAUUUUGGGUUUUCUGUUUCAGAUGAAAUGAUCCUGAAAGUCAAGUUCUCAGUGGUCCUUUUUGCAUACAGUAUGGAGUAUUACCUCUGAGGCACAUACAGAGCGCCCACACCGAGGUGCAUCUGCAGUGGCCGCUGUGAGCCAGACAGUGAGGAGACAUCGAGGCAGAGCAGGGCUGGGAAGAGCUCUGAAUCCAGGACUUAUUUCCGUAUCUGGUGGAGGCAGAAGAGAUGGAAGUGAAACAGCUCCGCGGGGCCCAGCCAACCAGCAAAUGUCAGAAGGGGCAUCUCAGUGUCUGGGAAAGAGGCGAGAACCGACAGGGCUGAGAAAGUCCCAACCUAUGUGGGGUUCAGGCAUAAGAGGAAGGGAACAAAAAUGGAGACAUGAUAAUCACCUUCCUUUUAGUGAGAUCGAUUGGAAAUAUGUCUUUGAAAUUGAUCCUGGAGUAUUUUUUAUUUGUAGUAACUUUUGUGAAUGGAUAAUUUUCUUCAUAAUUUCAUGUUGAUUUUUUGUAUCUUAUAAGAAUUCACUUGAUUGUUAUUAAGUAAUGCUAUAUUUUACCCUUUCAUUCCUUUGAUAAUUUUGGAGGAAUCUGAAAUUUGAUGUUUCCAGGCAUGUAAUCAGAAUGCAAAAAAUAUUAAUUAUUUCACUUCUAAUUAUUAUUUUUAUUUCUUCUUGAAAUUUUUAUCUUCUUUAUACAAGAUUUCUCUAAUAUUUUACCACUUAAUGUAAAAUUAACUCUGCUUUAUAAAUUCUUUUUUUAUAUAUAUAAAUUUGUGUACAAUGUAGUAAAAGGCCUUGGUACUUAUUAACAAAAUAAUAGAACUUAUUUGUUGAAAUUAACUGUACGUUGUAUUUAUUCAACUGUUUUUUCUGUUUUGAGUUAGC